AAUUCUACAUGGCGAUUUGGCCGGUAACAAAAAAAAAACCUUAAGUCGACUGAGGAGAGAAAAAGUGCGGUUUUGUCGGACGAAACGGAUCCUUCAAAGAUGCCACUCAAACAGCACUGCUCGGCGCUUACGAGUCCGGCGCUCACCCCAUAGCUGUUGCUACCCUAAAAGGGGCUAAACAGGAAGGGGAUGAGGUUAUCAAUUUUACCUUUUGGCGAAAAAUAAAUAAAAAGAAAGUUCAAAUUUAGGUGGUAUGUGGGAUUCGGAAAGAAGGGAGAAAUUGCGAAGUGAAAUUCGAGAACGGGAUCGCGGGUAAGGAGAAAAUGAGGAUCCACAGAAUCGUUGAUCAUGAGCUAGGUAUCAGUGCGAUAGCGAAGAUACUACAUGCUAUCGACACUAUAAUCGGCCAGACAAUAUUGGCGGGCAUAUCAAAGAGAAACAUAAGGAAGAAGCUAGACAGUUCAAGAAGAAAACGAGGUCCCCUCUGGCCGACGUG